GGUUAUGUCAAGCUAAAAAUGAAAUUCGAAACAUUUGACAGAUGUCACUGAUUGUGCAUGAAUUCUGUCGUUUGGCCAAUUCGCUGCGAGCGAAUAAUACGAAAAAUAGAAAACUCACAGUUGACACAGAACACUCUUAAAGUUAAACUGAGACGGUGGGUUGUCAAAAGAAAACGCUUGAGAAUUUUUUUUUCCAAAGCAAUCAGCAUUCGUGUUCGGCAUAAAAGUUUGCUACAUUAAACAAUUUGAAAUCAGACAAUUCUUCGGAAUAAAUUUCAUUUAAAGACAUAGCAAAAAAAAAAAACAUCCAGUAGAAAUAAUGGCGUUGAAUCCACAAUACGAAGAUAUAGCUAAAGGCUUUGUGCAACAAUAUUACGCUUUAUUCGAUGAUCCAAAUCAGCGAAUCAAUUUGGUGCAUUUAUUCAACGCUGAACAAUCAUUUAUGACCUUUGAAGGUGCGCAGCUUCAAGGCUCUGCAAAAAUUGGUGAAAAAUUAACGUCAUUAACCUUCCAGAAAAUUAAUAGAGCAAUUACAGCGAUUGAUUCGCAGCCAACAUUCGAUGGUGGUGUCUUGAUCAAUGUGCUAGGUCGACUUCAAACAGAUGAAGACUUGCCGCACGCAUUCACACAAACAUUUUAUUUAAAGCCAAUUGGAACGAGUUUUUUUGUACUUCACGAUAUCUUUCGACUGGUUCUCCAUGAUCAGGCCUAGGUUCAAGUCUUGAACAAUUCGCCCGUCUUUCCCUUCUAUUUGUUCACUUUUAAUGCCUUCGCCUGAAUUAUCUCCAUUAGUUUAUAAUCAAUCGUUCUUUGCGAAUGGUGCGAUGACGAUCCUCCGCAUGCAUACACACAAACAUUCUUGCUCAAGCCAUUGGGAGCAUCGUUUUUUGUCCAGCAUGACAUUUUCCGUUUAGCCAUUCAUGACACUGCUUAAAGAGACGAUCAACCAGCUACGUACAACGGUGCUGCUGCUUCAACCAUCAUCACAUCAUCUAAUGAUCGAUAAAUGCUCGGCCUCAAACACAAACAAAAACUACACAAAAUUUAAUUAAGAAUUUUAGUUUUGUUCUUUUCGCAUUUCAAAAAAAAAAAAUAAUAUUUUUGUAACAACUCAUUUUUUCUCUAAAAAAAGCAACUAACAAUGUAUCGGAACACAAAGAAAAAUGAAAUAAAACAUUGUAAUGAUUAAAAA